GCCUUCGUGGUGCAUUGGUCAGCACGCUGGGUGCGUAAUCCAGAGGUCCGUGGUUCGAUUCCCGGAGAGAGUA
rnacentral:tRNA from 1 species